rnacentral:rRNA from 1 species
AUGAAGCAAUGUGGGCUUGUGGACAUGGGGUUCAGUGGUCCUGCGUCUACUUAGAGAAACACACGUUUUUCUUCAAUUCAUGUCUUUGAAGAUAGAUGUUUAGCUAAUGCUAAGUGGUGCAAUCUUUUUCCUAAUACAAAUGUUUUCAAUCUUCCUAUAAUUUUAAGUGACCGUGCUCCUAUUUUAGUGUUGAGGUGA